ACUGGGCGUGGUCGCGCACGCCUGUAAUCCCAGCUACUUAGGAGGCUGAGGCAGGAGAAUAGCUUGAACCUGGGAGGCGGAGGUUGCAGUGAGCCAAGACUGCGCCACUGCACUCCAGCCUAGGUGACAGAGCAAGACCCUGUCUCAA
rnacentral:SRP_RNA from 1 species